rnacentral:lncRNA from 1 species
AAGUAGGCCCCGCCACCCCUCCCCCGCCUGUCCCCUUAGCCUCUACCUCAACCUCCGCUGCCGAGCCACCUGCCACCACUGCGGCAUUGGCAGCGGCAGGCGACAGGGUGACCUCCGCUGCUGCCACGUCCCUAGCUCCCUCCAAUUCUGGGGGAGCUGCCCCAGCCGGCACGAAAGGCCAGGGCAAGAAAAAGGGAAAGAGCCCCGCUAAAAAGACUGGGCCCUACAUGGCAGGGGCUGCCUCCACUGCUGCGGCCCUGCCACCGGCCGCGGCAAUCCUUCCCGCUGCUCCCUCCACCAGCUCUGCGGGUGCCCCUCCCCCAGCCCCUAGGGCGUAUGCCCAGGUGGCAGCGGCCACCGGUAUGCCAUCUCGCCCAUCCACCGCCUCCGCUUCCAACUAUAGUGGCCUGGGCCCCUUCCCCACCUUGACUAGGAGGCAUGGCAUCCGUUGCCUCCAGGUGCCCACCUCGCCGCACGUGGAGACCUACGUGCGGGCGUUGGCAAGGGUGGUGGGGCCCGCGGCCAUCGUGGCGGCCUCCAAAAUGUAUGGCAAGGUUGUCUUUUUCCUUGCCUCGGAGGCCGCCGCCCAAGAGGCGGUGGAGAAAGGCCUGGCGGUGGGGGGCGGCGUAUUCGCCCCCCUGGAGCCGCUAGAGGACCUGGGUGUCCGUGUGGUCCUUACCUCUGUUCCUCCUUACCUUCCCAAUGUCGCCCUGCUGCCCGACAUUUACACCAUNNNNNNNNNNGUGUACAUUGUGUCAGUGGAUCUGAAUAGAUGCUUGAUGCACUGGCCCUACAUACUUAAAGGCAAAAAAACCCCAUGGAUCUCAGCUCUGCCUAGACCUUAUAUUCAAGCUUCUGGAAUUGUGCCUCCAGUAUCUGUUGUGGGGCCAAGUUACAUGGUAUCUAGGAUAGUCAUUAUCUACAGGGAAUGGAGGAAAAUUUUAAUAAAUUGCAGAAGUCCUUAUAUCUACAGUUUUACUAGACUUUUCCUGAGUCAACCGCAACUUAUUUCACAAAAACUCUUACCUCCUUUAUAUGUGAUUGAUUUAAAUAUUCU